rnacentral:lncRNA from 1 species
GGUUUGGAUUUGUCGAAGAAAUUUUGCUCGAAUCGCUGUAGAUGUCGUCUUUCAAUAUACUAGAUUUUUCUCAAACUAUUGAACUGAUUAUGACAAAACUUGACAGAAAUGCUUGAAAUAACCAGUAUUACAAAGGGAAAAAGUCACAUUUAGUUUAUUGAACAAAAAGGUCUUCUUUAGGUGUAAUACCACCAAAUCAUGGUACGUCACAUCCGGUUGCAUACGAAAGUAGGUCUAAAAAAAUAUUCCCUUGAAUUUGACCAUUGUAGGUAAUUAAUCCUACAUUUUAUUGCAGUAAAACUAUUUCUGUGUCAUAAACAUAUGUCUUGGGUAUUUCAAAACACCACUAUUUUUUAUUUGUGAUUUCUAUAGAAAAUUUUGUAAUCUUGGGGUUACAUGGUGACUAAACCUUGUACACAGAUAGAAUAAGGGGAGAAAUUUGAUUGGUUAACUUACAAUGAUGGUUAUUUUCUUAUAUGCAAUGAAAUGUUAUGUGAAACUUUUUCUAUAGAACUGGACAGGAUAAAACUUUACUCAUGCC